UACGUAGGGCGCAAGCGUUGUCCGGAAUUAUUGGGUUUAAAGGGUGCGUAGGCGGUUUUGUAAGUCAGUGGUGAAAUACUCCAGCUUAACUGGAGGGGUGCCAAUGAUACUGCAGAACUUGAGUACAGAUGAGGUAGGCGGAAUUGACGGUGUAGCGGUGAAAUGCAUAGAUAUCGUCAAGAACACCGAUAGCGAAGGCAGCUUACUGGGCUGUAACUGACGCUGAGGCACGAAAGUGUGGGGAUCAAACAGG
rnacentral:rRNA from 1 species